GGUGACAUAGCAACAAAUAUGCUAGGUGUUUGUACACCUGAGAUGCAAUUUGUUUAUGUUCUUCCUGGUUGGGAAGGUUCAGUUGCUGAUGGACGGGUUCUUCGAGAUGCCAUUAGUAGAAGACAUGGAUUAAAAGUUCCUCAUGGUUGUUAUUAUCUAGUUGAUGCUGGAUACACAAAUUGUGAGGGAUUUCUUGCACCAUUUAGAGGACAACGAUAUCAUUUGAACGAGUGGCGCGUGGUUAUCAGCCAAGUUCUCCGCAAGAGUUUUUUAAUAUGAAACAUGCCUCAGCACGUAAUGUCAUUGAAAGAUGCUUUGGCUUAUUAAAACUUAGAUGGGGAAUACUUAGGAGUCCAUCGUUCUAUCCUGUAAGGGUGCACAAUAGAAUUAUUAUUGCAUGUUGUUUGCUCCAUAAUUUUAUUCGAACCCAUAUGAGUAGUGAUCCCAUUGAAGCGGAGGUGGGAGAAGGAUUACCUACAAUUAAUGUGGUGGAUGACGAUGAACCGAAUAUCACAAAUAUUCAUCCAUCGGAUGCUUGGGCUACUUGGAGGAUGGAACUAGCCAACCAAAUGUUCGAUGAAUGGCAAGCAUCUAGAAAUUAGUUUGUGAAACUUUUGUGAAACUUUUGUAUUGAUUUUUGUAUUGUACUAAACUACAGAAAUUAUAAUAUAAUUUCUUCUAAUUCAGCA